CUCCUUGAGCAAACAGAAAAGGAUAAAUCAACUGUUGAAUUAGAAUAUUAUGAGAAGCUUAAAGCUAAAGAUGCUGAAAUAUUGGAAGAGAAGACACAAGUAGAGGAGAAGAAACAGAUUAUUACUGAAGAUUAUGAGAAACUUAAACUCAAAGUUGCU